rnacentral:misc_RNA from 1 species
AGCUUACCUCCCCUCUCCUCUGUCAGACGGAACGAUGGAACUAGAUGUGAGAAUCUAAGAUACUCGGUCGCUGGUAUCUCAACUGUUGAACAUCUUUCAGGCAUAAAAACAGAUCGAUGUCCGCCAACCUUGGCCAGAUAUUCACAUUUGACCCCAAACGAAUCGCGACUGAGGAUUUCCACAAGCUCGUACUCACAGUCCUCCACAGUUGAUCGCGUCCAUUUUCUGUUCCAAUUCUUGUACAAUGCCCA